rnacentral:rRNA from 1 species
AUUGAACGCUGGCGGCAUGCUUUACACAUGCAAGUCGAACGGUAACAGGCCGCAAGGUGCUGACGAGUGGCGAACGGGUGAGCAAUGCAUCGGAACGUGCCCAGUCGUGGGGGAUAACGCAGCGAAAGCUGUGCUAAUACCGCAUACGAUCUAUGGAUGAAAGCGGGGGACCGUAAGGCCUCGCGCGAUUGGAGCGGCCGAUGUCAGAUUAGGUAGUUGGUGGGGUAAAGGCUCACCAAGCCAACGAUCUGUAGCUGGUCUGAGAGGACGACCAGCCAAACUGGGACUGAGAACCGGCCCAGACUCCUACGGGAGGCAGCAGUGGGGAAUUUUGGACAAUGGGCGAAAGCCUGAUCCAGCAAUGCCGCGUGCAGGAAGAAGGCCUUCGGGUUGUAAACUGCUUUUGUACGGAACGAAAAGGUUUGGGUUAAUACCCUGGGCCGAUGACGGUACCGAGGAAUAAGCACCGGCUAACUUCGUGCCAGCCGCCGCCGUAAAAC